rnacentral:tRNA from 1 species
ACGUCAGUAGUUCAAUGGCAGAACAACGGUCUCCAAAACCGUAGAUAUAGGUUCGAAUCCUUUCUUUCGUG